AAACCCUAGAAUUCAAAUUGAAAAAUUGAAAAAAAUCCAAUGAGAUUCAAUAGAAUCUUGGUUAAACGUUGUCAGGGAUGAGAUGCAGGUCGUCAAGACGUUUACCCGUGGGCGAGGAUUGGUUGCAGGCUAACCUGCAAGGAUGGGGACACCAUGGAAGGCAUUGAAUUUUUGGGUUUAAACUUGGAACUUAUGGCUCUGGUGGUGCUAGUGGCUCGACGCGGCAUGGCUUGGAAGCCAACAGCUUGUGGUGGGGUGGCGACGAGAUGGGUUUCAUGAAAUCCCUAGUUUAAUUUUUUUUCCAGAUUAUAAAUUUAUUUCAAUUUCAUGUAUAUUCAACAUAUAAUUCAAUGCAUGAGCAGAUAUAUGAUGCAAUUCAUGAAAAGAUCAAUUCUCAUAAUUCAACAAUUAUGGAUAUAAUACAUUCACAAUUUAUGUAGAAUCUAAAAUUCGAAAAACAUAAAGUUGGGUCAUGCAUUAUGGUGAAUGUUCAUGCUAUCAAGGCUGCAAAAAUAUCAAGAUAAAAACCGUUAUUUUGAAAGAACCUGAUUACGUGAUGAUAUUGAUAAACAUGUUUGAUGCAGAAUACUUCCAUGUCAGAUUCCUAAUCACAGCGGUAGGAGCUUGCCGAUAAUGUGUUAUGGCCUAUAUUUAACUGACAAGAAGAAGGGGGUCGGCGACAUAGAGAAAAUAUAUAGAGAGAGAUGUGUUUGUAGGGUUGUGUAGAGGAUGUGUUAUUCCCCUUACGAAGUGCCUUUAUUUAUAGUAAUAAGGGAGAUAAGAAAUCUUUUUCCUCCAAAGAAUACAAGUCCUAAUAGGGAAGAAUAACUAGCAUCAAAUCUAAUCUAGGAUUUACACAAUCAUACUUUAUAACAUAUUUAUUAUUUUUUUAUAUUUUUCAUAAAUAUUAUAUUACUAUUGUAAUAUUAUUUUAUUAAUUGGUGGAUAUUUAAAUAUUUAAAUAAUUUAUUUUUGGCCCGUGGGGCCCGCAUAUCACAAAGUCUCCACUUUUUCCUUGCCGCGUGUCCCUCUUCCCUCACUAUAUGGAACUCUCGCCAUCUCUCCCUCGCUCUAACUCUCUCAGCUCUCUCCCUCUCUUACCUCUAUCUCUU
rnacentral:lncRNA from 1 species